UACCUGGUUGAUCCUGCCAGUAAUCAUAUGCUUGUCUCAAAGAUUAAGCCAUGCAUGUCUAAGUACAUGCCGAAAUAAGGCGAAACCGCGAAUGGCUCAUUAAAUCAGUUAUGGUUCCUUAGAUCGUUUCUUCCUACUUGGAUAACUGUGGCAAUUCUAGAGCUAAUACAUGCAGUGAGCCUGAAGCCCUUUGGGCGACGGGUGCUUUUAUUAGACCAAGAUCGAUCGGGUUUCGGCCCGUAUUGUGUGGUGACUCUGGAUAACUUUGUGCUGAUCGCAUGGCCACGAGCCGGCGACGUUUCUUUCAAGUGUCUGCCUUAUCAACUUUCGAUGGUAGGUUACUUGCUUACCAUGGUUGUUACGGGUAACGGAGAAUCAGGGUUCGAUUCCGGAGAGGGAGCCUGAGAAACGGCUACCACAUCCAAGGAAGGCAGCAGGCGCGCAAAUUACCCACUCCCGGCACGGGGAGGUAGUGACGAAAAAUAACAAUACGGGACUCUUUUGAGGCCCCGUAAUUGAAAUGAGUACACUCUAAAUCCUUUAACGAGGAUCAAUUGGAGGGCAAGUCUGGUGCCAGCAGCCGCGGUAAUUCCAGCUCCAAUAGCGUAUACUAAAGCUGCUGCGGUUAAAAAGCUCGUAGUUGGAUCUCAGUUCCAGACGAGUAGUGCAUCUACCCGAUGCGACGGCUCGGACUGAACAUCAUGCCGGUCCUUUCUUGGUGCACUUCAUUGUGUGCCUCGAGAAGGCCGGUGCUUUUACUUUGAAAAAAUUAGAGUGCUCAACGCAGGCGAGUCGCCUGAAUAAACUUGCAUGGAAUAAUAGAACAAGACCUCGUUUCUGUUCUGUUGGUUUUUGGAAUACGAGGUAAUGAUUAAGAGGGACAGACGGGGGCAUUCGUAUUGCGGCGCUAGAGGUGAAAUUCUUGGACCGUCGCAAGACGAACUACUGCGAAAGCAUUUGCCAAGAAUGUUUUCUUUGAUCAAGAACGAAAGUCAGAGGUUCGAAGGCGAUCAGAUACCGCCCUAGUUCUGACCAUAAACGAUGCCAACCAGCGAUCCGCCUGAGUUACUCAAAUGACUCGGGCGGGCAGCUUCCGGGAAACCAAAGUGUUUGGGUUCCGGGGGAAGUAUGGUUGCAAAGCUGAAACUUAAAGGAAUUGACGGAAGGGCACCACCAGGAGUGGAGCCUGCGGCUUAAUUUGACUCAACACGGGAAAACUUACCCGGCCCGGACACUGGGAGGAUUGACAGAUUGAGAGCUCUUUCUUGAUUCGGUGGAUGGUGGUGCAUGGCCGUUCUUAGUUGGUGGAGCGAUUUGUCUGGUUAAUUCCGAUAACGAACGAGACUCUAGCCUAUUAAAUAGGUGCGGGGUUCCCAGCACCUUACAACCUUCUUAGAGGGACAAGCGGCUCCUAGCCGCACGAAACAGAGCAAUAACAGGUCUGUGAUGCCCUUAGAUGUCCGGGGCCGCACGCGCGCUACACUGAAGGAAGCAGCGUGUCUUUAUCCCUGUCUGAAAAGACUGGGUAACCCGUGGAACUUCUUUCGUGAUUGGGAUAGGGGCUUGCAAUUGUUCCCCUUGAACGAGGAAUUCCCAGUAAGCGCGAGUCAUAAGCUCGCGUUGAUUACGUCCCUGCCCUUUGUACACACCGCCCGUCGCUACUACCGAUUGAAUGAUUUAGUGAGGUCUUCGGACCGAUGUCCGGCGCGGCCUUUCGGUUGCGCCGGUCUGUUGGAAAGAUGACCAAACUUGAUCAUUUAGAGGAAGUAAAAGUCGUAACAAGGUUUCCGUAGGUGAACCUGCGGAAGGAUCAUUA
rnacentral:rRNA from 1 species